AUGAAGUGUCGAAAAACCGCAGAUUUUAUCAGUGGCGUGACAGAGUUCAUGAAUUUGGCUGAAAGUACAAAGAGGAGAAUUGGUGAUGUGGAUUACAUCCUGUGUCCAUGUACUGAUUGUGCCAAUAUAGAGUCACAUGAAGUUGCAGAUGUCCAGACGCACCUAGUCUCUAGGGGAUUCAUGGAUGGAUAUACACGUUGGACCAGACACGGUGAAGAGGAGGUCAUGGAUGAAGAUACCCAGGGCAGCGAGAUGCCAAACCCCGAUCAGCGUCACAUAGAUGUUGAAUCUAACAUCAGGGCAGAGGCGUCAAGCUACCAAUGGAACACCGGAAAGCCGAAACGCCAAGUGGAAAACCAGGACAUCGACACAGAUGACAACGAUCUUGAUAUGCCAGAUUUUGCUGCUAUGAUUGCGGGCGAUGGCCCAGAAAAGGAUAUGAUUGGGUACAAGGAUCUGCCAACCAUUGAUGUUGACUCCAAGAAAGAAUUGUAUCCAGGUUGCAAAAAGAAAUAUUCCAGGUUGAGUGCCACCCUGGCACUUCUCAGAUUUAAAGCAGCAAAUGGUCUAUCAAACAAGGGCUUCACAAAGAUGUUAGGUCUUUUGAAACAAAUUCUUUCGGAAGAUAAUGUGCUCCCCAGAAGCACGAAUGAAGCAAACAAAAUUGUUUGUCCAUUGGAACUUGAAGUACAGAAGAUACACGCUUGUGUGGAUGAUUGUAUAUUGUACCGUGGUGAGUACAAAGAUUUUCGUGCAUGUCCCACAUGCAAACAUGCACGAUACAAGCGCAGGAGAGCAAAGUACAAGUACAAAUUAGACGACGAGAUCAAGACAGGAAUCCCGUUCAAGGAGUCACCACCGCGUUGUGUUGCUGUACAAGAGCCGAGCCGUCACCAUCCCAUCGUCAGACCCCCAUUCCUGCUGCUCCUCGCCGUUGUCAACUUCCGGCGCGCCGCCAACGACAGUUCCGGCCUCUGCUUUGAGCAGAGGAGGACGCCCGCGUCUCGCCACACCUCGACGCUAGCGCGCCUCCACAGCUUCACCGGCCGGAUCCUUACCUGGGUGCCCCGUCCCCGAUCCCUUCUUCAAGCAUGGCCGCCGCCCGUCUUCUUCAGGCACGAGCUCCAUCGGGUCCGCCUCCCUGCUGCCGGAGCCCCAUGA
rnacentral:rRNA from 1 species